AACGAACGCUGGCGGCAUGCCUAACACAUGCAAGUCGAACGAGACCUUCGGGUCUAGUGGCGCACGGGUGCGUAACGCGUGGGAACCUGCCCUUAGGUUCGGAAUAACUCCCCGAAAGGGGUGCUAAUACCGGAUAAUGUCUUCGGACCAAAGAUUUAUCGCCUUUGGAUGGGCCCGCGUUGGAUUAGCUAGUUGGUAGGGUAAAAGCCUACCAAGGCGACGAUCCAUAGCUGGUCUGAGAGGAUGAUCAGCCACACUGGGACUGAGACACGGCCCAGACUCCUACGGGAGGCAGCAGUGGGGAAUAUUGGACAAUGGGCGAAAGCCUGAUCCAGCAAUGCCGCGUGAGUGAUGAAGGCCUUAGGGUUGUAAAGCUCUUUUACCCGGGAUGAUAAUGACAGUACCGGGAGAAUAAGCGCCGGGUAACUCCGUG
rnacentral:rRNA from 1 species